GACGAACGCUGGCGGCGCGCUUAACACAUGCAAGUCGAGCGAUAACCAUGGCUUCGGCCAUGGGGAGAGCGGCGAACGGGUGAGUAACACGUGAGUAAUCUGCCCUCGACACUGGGAUAGCCCGGGGAAACCCGGAUUAAUACCGGAUAGCCUCUCGAGCUUUCGGGCUCGUGAGAAAAGAUGGCUUCGGCUUUCGGUUGAGGAGGAGCUUGCGGCGGAUUAGCUUGUUGGUGAGGAACGGCCCACCAAGGCGACGAUCCGUAGCUGGUCUGAGAGGACGGAUCAGCCACACUGGGACUGAGACACGGCCCAGACUCCUACGGGAGGCAGCAGUGGGGAAUCUUGCGCAAUGGGCGAAAGCCUGACGCUGCGACGCCGCGUGAGGGAAGAAGGCCU
rnacentral:rRNA from 1 species